rnacentral:rRNA from 1 species
GACGAACGCUGGCGGCGUGCUUAACACAUGCAAGUCGAACGAUGAACCCGGAGCUUGCUCCGGCGGAUUAGUGGCGAACGGGUGAGUAACACGUGAGUAACCUGCCCUUGACUCUGGGAUAACUGCUAGAAAUGGUAGCUAAUACCGGAUACGACCCUCGGUGGCAUCACCAGGGGGUGGAAAGAAUUUCGGUCAGGGAUGGACUCGCGGCCUAUCAGCUAGUUGGUGAGGUAACGGCUCACCAAGGCGACGCCGGGUAGCCGGCCUGAGAGGGUCACCGGCCAAACUGUGACGGAGACAAGGCCCAGACUCCCACGGGAGGCAGCAGUGGGGAAUAUUGCACAAUGGGCGCAAGCCUGAUGCAGCAAAGACGCGUGAGGGAUGACGGCCUUCGGGUUGUAAACCUCUUUUAGUAGGGAAGAAGCGAAAGUGACGGUACCUGCAGAAAAAGCACCGGCUAACUACGUGCCAGCCGCCGCCGUAA